rnacentral:rRNA from 1 species
CAGCCGCCGCGGUAAUACGGAGGGAGCUAGCGUUGUUCGGAAUUACUGGGCGUAAAGCGCACGUAGGCGGCUACUCAAGUCGGGGGUGAAAGCCCGGGGCUCAACCCCGGAACUGCCCUCGAAACUAGGUAGCUAGAAUCUUGGAGAGGUCAGUGGAAUUCCGAGUGUAGAGGUGAAAUUCGUAGAUAUUCGGAAGAACACCAGUGGCGAAGGCGACUGACUGGACAAGUAUUGACGCUGAGGUGCGAAAGCGUGGGGAGCAAACAGGAUUAGAUACCCCAGUAGUCCCUGUCUCUUAUAC